ACGGUUGUUACGAGAGGAAUGCAGGCAGGCUCGAGAGGUCGAGGACGACGACCGCCGUUCUCUUGCGGCGCCGCCGCGAGCUGCAUCUCUUGGAGCGGGCCUUCGGCAAGCCUCGGAUGAAUUUUGAUCCGAGGUUCCUCCCGCGCUGCUUCACCUCCAGUGGAUUCGGAUCCAGCAUGAUCUGAAGUCACAUCGGAAUUUUAACAGAACCAAUUUUGUGCGUCAAGAUUUCCGUACUAGGACACAGGUCAACUUCAACAAUACAGAUAAUGGUGGGACAAUGACAGCUGGUGGAGAGAGACCUCUCAACCUUGGGGAGCUGCUUCCUUUCUCCUCUUCGUGUGUCUUUAAGGAACUUGAACAAUAUUCACAGAGGAAAAAGAGAGAUUUUGUCCAUGUCUUACUGAAGAGAAAUAAGACACUGCUCCAGGGAGAGGACAUGAAUGCACAGAAGAUGCAGUGAAAAUGCAAUUUUAUGUUUUGAACCUGAAUUCUGCAAAUUGGCACUGCUCCAGGGAGAGGACAUGAGUGCAGUUUCGCCCACCAGCACUAGUCAGUAAACCACAGCCAAACUUUCAGGAACAUGAGGCAUUGUCAACUGAGUCAAUUAUGUGAAGUAAAAUUACUGAUACAACAACACAG